rnacentral:rRNA from 1 species
AUUGAACGCUGGCGGCAUGCUUUACACAUGCAAGUCGAACGGUAACAGGUCUUCGGCUGCUGACGAGUGGCGAACGGGUGAGUAAUACAUCGGAACGUGCCUAGUAGUGGGGGAUAACUACUCGAAAGAGUAGCUAAUACCGCAUGAGAUCUACGGAUGAAAGCAGGGGACCUUCGGGCCUUGUGCUACUAGAGCGGCUGAUGGCAGAUUAGGUAGUUGGUGGGGUAAAGGCUUACCAAGCCUGCGAUCUGUAGCUGGUCUGAGAGGACGACCAGCCACACUGGGACUGAGACACGGCCCAGACUCCUACGGGAGGCAGCAGUGGGGAAUUUUGGACAAUGGGCGAAAGCCUGAUCCAGCAAUGCCGCGUGCAAGAUGAAGGCCCUCGGGUUGUAAACUGCUUUUGUACGGAACGAAAAGCCUGGGGCUAAUAUCCCCGGGUCAUGACGGUACCGUAAGAAUAAGCACCGGCUAACUACGUG